rnacentral:rRNA from 1 species
ACACAUGCAAGUCGAGGGGCAGCGGGAUUGAAGCUUGCUUCAAUUGCCGGCGACCGGCGCACGGGUGAGUAACGCGUAUCCAACCUUCCGUACACUCAGGGAUAGCCUUUCGAAAGAAAGAUUAAUACCCGAUGGUAUGAUGAGAUUGCAUGAUAGCAUCAUUAAAGAUUUAUCGGUGUACGAUGGGGAUGCGUUCCAUUAGGUAGUAGGCGGGGUAACGGCCCACCUAGCCGACGAUGGAUAGGGGUUCUGAGAGGAAGGUCCCCCACAUUGGAACUGAGACACGGUCCAAACUCCUACGGGAGGCAGCAGUGAGGAAUAUUGGUCAAUGGACGAGAGUCUGAACCAGCCAAGUAGCGUGAAGGAUGAAGGUCCUACGGAUUGUAAACUUCUUUUAUAAGGGAAUAAAACCUCCCACGUGUGGGAGCUUGUAUGUACCUUAUGAAUAAGCAUCGGCUAACUCCGUGCCAGCAGCCGCGGUAAUACGGAGGAUGCGAGCGUUAUCCGGAUUUAUUGGGUUUAAAGGGAGCGCAGACGGGUCGUUAAGUCAGCUGUGAAAGUUUGGGGCUCAACCUUAAAAUUGCAGUUGAUACUGGCGUCCUU